rnacentral:rRNA from 1 species
GAUGAACGCUGGCGGCGUGCCUAAUACAUGCAAGUCGAGCGAACGGACGAGAAGCUUGCUUCUCUGAUGUUAGCGGCGGACGGGUGAGUAACACGUGGAUAACCUACCUAUAAGACUGGGAUAACUUCGGGAAACCGGAGCUAAUACCGGAUAAUAUUUUGAACCGCAUGGUUCAAAAGUGAAAGACGGUCUUGCUGUCACUUAUAGAUGGAUCCGCGCUGCAUUAGCUAGUUGGUAAGGUAACGGCUUACCAAGGCAACGAUGCAUAGCCGACCUGAGAGGGUGAUCGGCCACACUGGAACUGAGACACGGUCCAGACUCCUAAGGGAGGCAGCAGUAGGGAAUCUUCCGCAAUGGGCGAAAGCCUGACGGAGCAACGCCGCGUGAGUGAUGAAGGUCCUCGGAUCGUAAAGCUCUGUUAUUAGGGAAGAACAUAUGUGUAAGUAACUGUGCACAUCUUGACGGUACCUAAUCAGAAAGCCACGGCUAACUACGUG